AGCUUUUGCCAAUGCAAUACCAUUUUUUUUCUCCUUUCAUAAAUGCAUGCAGUUGUUUUCAAAGUCUAUCUGAAAAUAUUAACAAGUGCUGAAAGAACCCACUGAAGAAAAACUACAGAGCACCUCCUUGCACCUUCUUGCCCAAAUCAGUUUUAGCUGGGAUUUUCCAUUACAAGUAGCAGAUUAUUCUUAAAGAAAACCUAAAUAAUGCUGCAGCGUCUGGGUCUAAUGGUCUCUAAUGGACUCAAUUAGCCACACCUGGGCCUGUCCUCACCCCAGAGUCCCAAAUACCACUUAGCUCAGCUGAAGAGAGUCUGUCUACGGUUAUUGCAACAUCCUGGCUGGUUGACUGGACCUGCAUGCUGCAGUGAGGGUGAGAUGGUUGCCUUGCCAAUGUUACUGCUGCUAUUGCUCCUGCUUUGCCAUCCUGGGGGUCUGUGGUCCCUAUCAGGUGAUAUGAACAAAGCCAUUACUUUUGACUUUCGAUUAAAUCGAAUGCAAACAAACUUGAUGAAGAGUGUGACAAAAGAAGAACUACUGUGCAGGGUCUGUGAAUCAUGUUCCUAAUGAGUCAUCUUAGACCCAGUACAGUAAACUUCCCCUUGAGAAACGGAGUGACCACAAAGAAGAAACAAGCCAAGAGCCUGAUUUUGAACAAUUUCAGAAAAGGGCUUUAAUCUUUUUGCUGUCACCUGACAACAUUAUGAAAGGGAUAUGGUCUGUCUUGUCUUUCCUGUGUCAGAUACUCCUGUAAGUAUAAAUGAAGAUAUUGUGGGAUCAUUUGUUUUGGUUGCUCUACUAAAUAAAUUGAAACAGCAAAGCCUGUCA
rnacentral:lncRNA from 1 species